AGUGAACGCUGGCGGUAGGCCUAACACAUGCAAGUCGAACGGCAGCACAGUAAGAGCUUGCUCUUACGGGUGGCGAGUGGCGGACGGGUGAGGAAUACAUCGGAAUCUACUUUUUCGUGGGGGAUAACGUAGGGAAACUUACGCUAAUACCGCAUACGACCUACGGGUGAAAGCAGGGGAUCUUCGGACCUUGCGCGAUUGAAUGAGCCGAUGUCGGAUUAGCUAGUUGGCGGGGUAAAGGCCCACCAAGGCGACGAUCCGUAGCUGGUCUGAGAGGAUGGUGAGCGACACUGGAACUGAGACACGGUCCAGACUCAUACGGAGGUCAGCAGUGGGGAAUAUUGGACAAUGGGCGUAAGGCUGACCCAGCAAUACCGCGUGAGAGAAGAAGGCCUGCUGGUUGCAAAGCCCUGUUGUUGGUAAAGAAAAGCAGCAGGCUAAUACCCUGCUGUCCUGACGGUACCGAAAGAAUAAGCACCGGCUAACUUCGUG
rnacentral:rRNA from 1 species